UACGUAGGGUGCAAGCGUUGUCCGGAAUUAUUGGGCGUAAAGAGCUCGUAGGCGGCUUGUUGCGUCGGCUGUGAAAUCCCGAGGCUCAACCUCGGGUCUGCAGUCGAUACGAGCAAACUAGAGUGUUGCAGGGGAGACUGGAAUUCCUGGUGUAGCGGUGAAAUGCGCAGAUAUCGGGAGGAACACCAGUGGCGAAGGCGGCGUCCUGGACUGGUACUGACGCUGAGGAGCGAAAGCGUGGGGAGCGAUCCGG
rnacentral:rRNA from 1 species